CUUGAUGGCAGCCUCUGACUUUCCAUCUUGGCCCUUGUACCUUUGGCCCGGAAGAUUUAACAUCAUUUGGAUGUGAACUGGGUUCUCUACCAGUGAGAGAAAGUCAUAUCUGAGACUCAUGUGGAAUUGGGACCAUCGAUGAAAAUGGAGCAACCUUGGGAGAAGAUUCUGAAAGAAGAGGGCUCCAGUCUCUCUCAGGCAGUGCCUGCAAAUGGUGUAGGUGUGGGGCGUGUAUGUAUGUCAGCAAAUGAGUUUCAGACCUUUUGAAAGAAUAGCCCUGGUUUGGGAAUGGGGUUACAGAAUUGAACAGUGGCUGUUUGAGAACAAAGGGAUUAUACCUCCCUACCUUCUUGGAUGAUAUUCCAGUAAAGACCUGUUCUCCAAGGAAACACACUCUUGGACAUCAAAUAGACCACUCAGGCACGGGGAAGCUAUGGGUUUGGAGUCAGCUAAAGCAUAACUGUAGUACAUCUGUCACAGAGAAUGCCACACUUGGGAGCACUUCACACUUAGAGCUGGAAAAGACAUGUCUCUCAAGAGGAAGGCUUCCCAAAUUAAAGCAGUGCAUCAGCAUUGUGGGAUCCAUUGAGCAGGUAAAGACAAAGCUGCUUCACAGCCUGCUAGGAAUAAGAGCCCUGAUUAAAGGUCAUGCCAGCCUUCAGAUUCCGGUUUCUUCUGCUAUUUUUCCUUUACUAUUUAUCUCCAUGAACUUGUCUGCAAUUAUCUGUCGCCGACCUUCUUUCUCUCCGACUACCUUCCUUCUUUCUAUUCCUUCCUUCUUUUCUUUCCUUCCUCCCACUCUCCCUCCCUUUCUCCCUUUCUCCCCCCUUUUUUUUUUUUUUUGGUUUUUUGUUUUUAAGAUAUGCUGUACUCCCAACAUGAUGUUGCUGAAUAGCAAUAUUGUUUUCCUUCUAGUGGAGAUGGCUCUCUGUCAUGCCAUCCGCAUGCUCUCCUGGUCCUUCCUGAGCUCCUGGCCACACCUUCACCAGGGCCCAAACCUGUGGCAUUGUUUAGCAUCCUGCUUUAACUAACUGAAUCGACUAGCUGGGAAAUGCUCUUCAUCAUCUGCAAAGUGUUACUACUAAUUAGGUAAUUUUGAGAGUUUCUGGAGCAGUAAUUUAGGAAGAACUCUGAAUUUAAAACAAACGAACA